AUUUACUCCAUCUCAUCUGACAAACACCAACAUCAGCAUCUUAAGGUGUGGUCAAGUGUGAAAGCAGCUCAACUGACUUCAGUGAGUGUCUGGUGAAGUGUCAUUCAUCAGUCCAUAUCAUAUGCAGGAAUCACAUAAGAACAAUUCAAAUAAAAUCUAAAAGUGGGAAGACAUGGAUUUCUUUAAAAUACUGCCAGAUGUUCCCGGGCUGCUGAAUGAAGCUGCUGACGGCGUGAAAGAUGCAAGCGACAAACUAAACAAAGUCGUGUCUGGAGAAACCAAGAAGAUAAAGAAAGUCGUACCUGGAGGAACCAAGACGAUGUUCAAGAAACCAGGAAAAUUUGUGCAGAGCAUUGCAAAUGAUAUUAAAAAAAAGUUUUAGAUGACUAACAAAAUAGUGUUAUUAUAUUUCUAAUGUAAUGUUAACUUUCUCAUAUAACAUUUGUAGUAAUACUAAUUAAUCAUCUUUAUGUUCCCUUGAAUAUUUGAACUUUACUGUGUACCCUUAAUAGUUUCUUACUUUUAUUUAUUUAUUGCUACUAAUUGUUUUUCAUCAUUUUUAAUCAAAAAUCUUCCUUUAAGAGAUGAGCUUAUACACAACAAAAACUCUAGUGUUAAAUGAACUCUUCUGGGAGUAUAUGUGAGACCACACUCAAGAGUGUUAAAAUAAGAGUGUUAAAUGAACACUGUUAAAGUUAAUGAGAUAAUGAAGUGAUAAAUUGAGUGAUGACUGUCCAUUAUUCAAGACACCUGAUGUUAACAAGCAGAAUCAUCAAAGGAGAAAAUCACAAUUUUAAGUCACCAUCAUGGAGAUCAGUGUUUGCUUUAGUUGAGCUCUUGACGCUUCACUUUUUAAUAUUAGAUUUUAUUUGGCUGCUGUAACUGAGUUGUAACAGCCAGACAAGCAAAGAGAAAAGAUGAUCAGGUGGUAUUGGUUAUGUUUUCACAUAAUCAUUAUUUGACCAUACUGAAUGCUAUUUCUGUUCUGUUAGCGUCAGGUACCUUAACAGAGCAUCAUAAACUAUAACAUGUCUGAUAGUGCAAAUGUCUAUGCAGAUACAUGCCAAUGGACACAUUACUCUUUAUACCAUGCUCAAUUCUCAAGAAAUACCUGCUCUAAAUCCAUAAACAUUGUAACAAAAUAGAUCUGAAUGUGUUCGAUACUCACUCUCACAAGGUAUAAGGAAAGGUAUGAUGAAUAACAUCACUAAAGUAUCACAAACUCCUUUAAAAUGAAUACAAGCAAGUCAUGCAUAAACUCAACAUACAUAACUAUGAAAAUAACUAUUUAGUAUAUAUCUGCAUUACUCCAGCAUUAUUAACUGUAUGAAGUUGUAUUAAUACUCCUUUUAAUCACUGUUUUAAUUGUUUUAAUCACAGUUUUUAAUCUUCAAAUGACUUUAUUUCAUGAACAAUAGCACUUUUUGUUCACAAAAGCAUUAAAUUCAUGAAUUAUUGAUA